UACGUAGGGUGCAAGCGUUGUCCGGAAUUAUUGGGCGUAAAGAGCUCGUAGGCGGUCUGUCGCGUCUGCUGUGAAAACUCAGGGCUUAACCCUGAGCUUGCAGUGGGUACGGGCAGGCUUGAGUUCGGUAGGGGAGACUGGAAUUCCUGGUGUAGCGGUGAAAUGCGCAGAUAUCAGGAGGAACACCGGUGGCGAAGGCGGGUCUCUGGGCCGAUACUGACGCUGAGGAGCGAAAGCGUGGGGGAGCGAACAGG
rnacentral:rRNA from 1 species